GUCUCCUUGAUUAAGAGUAUAGGGAGUCGUACCUGCUCGGUGAAUUUUUAACAGCCGCGGUAUCUUGACUGUGCAAAGGUAGCAUAAUCAUUUGCCUUAUAAUUGAAGGCUGGUAUGAAUGGUUUGACAAAAGCAAAACUGUCUCUUUUUAAUUUCUUAGAAUUUAGUUUUUAGAUUAAAAAAUCUAAAUUUUAUUGAUAGACAAGAAGACCCUGUUGAGCUUUAAAAUUAAUAUAUUAAUUUUUAUUUAAUGUAAGAUUUUGAUUGGGGUGAUUAAGGAACAAAAAAAGCUUUCUUUGAUUGUUUUUAUUUAUAAAUUUUGAUCCGAUUAACGAUUAAAAGAAUUAGUUACCACAGGGAUAACAGCAUUAUUUUUUCUGAGAGUUCUUAUCGAAGAAAAAGUUUGUGACCUCCGAUGUUGGAUAAGGUUCCGUAAGAUGCAGAAG
rnacentral:rRNA from 1 species